rnacentral:rRNA from 1 species
AGAGUUUGAUCCUGGCUCAGGAUGAACGCUGACAGAAUGCUUAACACAUGCAAGUCAAUGGGGAAACGGUGCUUGCACCGUGAUAACCAUGGCGGACGGGUGAGUAACGCGUAAAGAACUUGCCUCUUAGUCUGGGAUAACAGAUGGAAACGACUGAUAAGACUAGAUAUUAUUAAAGUUUCGCAUGAAGCUUUAAUGAAAAGAGAUGCUAAGAGAGAGCUUUGCGUCCUAUUAGUUAGUUGGUGAGGUAACGGCUCACCAAGACGAAGAUAGGUAGCCGGUCUGAGAGGAUGAACGGCCACAAGGGGACUGAGAUACGGCCCUUACUCUUACGGGAGGCAGCAGUGGGGAAUAUUGGACAAUGGAGGAGACUCUGAUCCAGCAAUUCUGUGUGCACGAAGACGGUUUUCGGAUUGUAAAGUGCUUUCAGCAGGGAAGAAGAAAGUGACGGUACCUGCAGAAGAAGCGACGGCUAAAUACGUGCCAGCAGCCGCGGUAAUACGUAUGUCGCAAGCGUUAUCCGGAAUUAUUGGGCAUAAAGGGCAUCUAGGCGGAUAUACAAGUCAGGGGUGAAAACUUAGGGCUCAACUCAAAGCUUGCCUUUGAAACUGUAUAUCUAGAGUGCUGGAGAGGUGGACGGAACUACACGAGUAGAGGUGAAAUUCGUAGAUAUGUGUAGGAAUGCCGAUGAUGAAGAUAGUCCACUGGACAGCAACUGACGCUGAAGUGCGAAAGCUAGGGGAGCAAACAGGAUUAGAUACCCUGGUAGUCCUAGCUGUAAACGAUGAUUACUGGGUGUGGGCAUGAAGAGUGUCUGUGCCGAAGCUAAUGCGAUAAGUAAUCCGCCUGGGGAGUACGACCGCAAGGUUGAAACUCAAAGGAAUUGACGGGGACCCGCACAAGCGGUGGAGCAUGUGGUUUAAUUCGACGCAACGCGAGGAACCUUACCAGCGUUUGACAUCUUAGGAAUGAGACAGAGAUGUUUCAGUGUCCCUUCGGGGAAACCUAAAGACAGGUGGUGCAUGGCUGUCGUCAGCUCGUGUCGUGAGAUGUUGGGUUAAGUCCCGCAACGAGCGCAACCCCUAUAGUUAGUUACCAUCAUUAAGUUGGGGACUCUAACUAGACUGCCUGCGAAGAGCAGGAGGAAGGUGGGGAUGACGUCAAGUCAUCAUGCCC